rnacentral:other from 1 species
AAAUUCCUACGGUGUACGUAGCUUAUGCAUGUCUUAAACCAAUAAGUAUAAUACGGAAGUUCAAUAUUUAAAUGUAGAUAACAAGCCAUCUUUUUAAGAAGGAAGUUACAAACAUUUGUGAGAACAUCCACCUGUGAGAGCAGGUUUAUGGACAUCUAGAGAGAAGGGCGGCAUAUGUGGGGCUAUA